AGAGUUUGAUCAUGGCUCAGGAUGAACGUUGGCGGCAUGCUUAACACAUGCAAGUCGAACGCAGGCUUCGGCCUGAGUGGCGAACGGGUGCGUAACACGUAGGUGACCUGGCCUGGAGUGGGGGAUAACCCUCGGAAACGGGGGCUAAUACCGCAUGGUCUGGAGGCAUUUUGAAAGCCUUCAGUAAAGCUUAAUGUGCUCUAGGGGGGGCCUGCGGCCUAUCAGGUAGUUGGUGGGGUAAAAGCCUACCAAGCCGAUGACGGGUAGCUGACCUGAGAGGGUGGUCAGCCACAGGGGAACUGAGACACGGUCCCCACUCCUACGGGAGGCAGCAGUGAGGAAUAUUGGGCAAUGGGGGCAACCCUGACCCAGCAAUGCCGCGUGCGGGAGGACGCCCUUCGGGGUGUAAACCGCUUUUGUGAGGGAGGAGCAAGGACCGUACCUCACGAAGAAGUCACGGCUAACUACGUGCCAGCAGCCGCGGUAAUACGUAGGUGGCGAACGUUAUCCGGAGUUACUGGGCGUAAAGGGUCCGCAGGCGGGCUUGCAAGUCCGGCGUGAAAUCUUCUGGCUUAACUAGAAGAGGUCGUUGGAAACUGCAGGUCUAGCAUCCCGCAGAGGUCGGUGGAAUUCCCGGUGUAGUGGUGGAAUGCGUAGAGAUCGGGAGGAACCUCGAAAGCGAAGGCAGCCGGCUGGGCGCGGAUGGACGCUGAGGGACGAAAGCGUGGGGAGCGAACAGGAUUAGAUACCCUAGUAGUCC
rnacentral:rRNA from 1 species